rnacentral:tRNA from 12 species
UUGUGGCUCAGUUGGUCGAGCUGUUGGACUGCAAAUUCAAAGGCCGCGAGUUCAAUUCAGU